UACAUGUGGGGCAAGCGUUGUUCGGAAUCAUUGGGCGUAAAGCGCGUGUAGGCGGCCAGGUAAGUCCGUUCUGAAAGCCCGGGGCUCAACCCCGGGAGGCGGAUGGAUACUGCUUGGCUCGAGUCCGGAAGAGGCGAGUGGAAUUCCCGGUGUAGCGGUGAAAUGCGCAGAUAUCGGGAGGAACACCAAUGGCGAAGGCAGCUCGCUGGGACGGUACUGACGCUGAGACGCGAAAGCGUGGGGAGCAAACAGG
rnacentral:rRNA from 1 species